UCUCCCCUUCAGUGGGCCCGCCAAGCUCGCUUCCUCCUGGACCACUUCCCGCUGUCCCCCGGGAUCCUGGGACCCGAGCAAGGAGGGGCUGCCGCUCCCGCGCUCUCACCCACCCCUGCAGGCCCCGGGUGUCAUCUCUUGCAACAGCUGACUGUGACGCCUCCACCACUCUGGUGUCACUUUUAACACCGCACGUUCACACCACCGGCUGACUGUCUGCGCAAGGAGGCCCCAGCGGAGGCGCGUGCAGCCGCACCCCACAUGUGGAGCUGUUAAUCCGGCAGUUGUUCAGCAGGUCUCUUGGCCUCACCUCCAAACGUGUUACUUCUGGAGAGAACGACACCACGGAACUGCACCAGCUUUCUCAAGGAGUGCCAGGACUCGCCUGUCCUGCGUCGGCCAGGAGGGGAAGGGGGGUGGGGGGGAGGAGGCAUUUCGGAGGAGGCGCCGUGUAAAGAUCUGGGGUCUGGACCCCCACCCCCCACCCCCUACACACAGUUCCGCAAAUCAGGAAAAGAAGACGACGACGAGAAAAGGGAAACGGGAAAUUGUGUCACCACGCCACUUAAGUGUGUUUUAUUAAAUCUGCACUUUCCUAUGUUUUCAAGGAGUUCGCGGCAUGAUGGCGCCGCUGAAGGAUUUCAUUUCCGCACCCUUUGGAGCAGGCAUAGCCACGUGACUUGCUCUGGCCAAUGAAAUGUGAGGGAAGUAAUUCGUCACUUCCGGGUGAAGUCGGUGGUGUUUGCCGGCUGGCGUUCCAUUCCGCAGCCGGGAGAGCAUGGUUGAUGCAGAAGGCCCACAAGGUAACAGGCGCCACCACACAGGGGACAGAACCCCUAGAAGUCACCUGGACCACUGUGCUCUGGGUAUGAGCAGAAAUAAACGUUUUAAAUGUUAAAUCA